rnacentral:rRNA from 1 species
UACGUAGGUGGCAAGCGUUGUCCGGAUUUACUGGGCGUAAAGGGAGCGUAGGCGGACUUUUAAGUGAGAUGUGAAAUACCCGGGCUCAACCUGGGUGCUGCAUUUCAAACUGGAAGUCUAGAGUGCAGGAGAGGAGAAUGGAAUUCCUAGUGUAGCGGUGAAAUGCGUAGAGAUUAGGAAGAACACCAGUGGCGAAGGCGAUUCUCUGGACUGUAACUGACGCUGAGGCUCGAAAGCGUGGGGAGCAAACAGG